UUUAAACCGCGUGUUUAAGUAUUAAAUUAAUCAAAUUAAAAUUAAUAAAAAGAAACCGCCAAGGUUAAAAUCGUCCAAUGCGAUAUCAAAAUCCCUGAUAAUCAGCCCAAUAACUACCCAAACAUAUCGUAAAACAAAAAAUCAACGAAGCAAAGCAAAGUAAACACCUAAGAUUCAUCCUGCUACUCUUCCCGUUGCGAUUCAACUAACAUGAGUUUUGAGAAACGAAGCAAAGCAAACCACGACAGACCACAAGCGAAGAAGAUGAAUCCAGUUUUAUGACUGAUAGCAUGCAAUUUCGUAGACAUAGAUUCUGAUGAUGACUUUGAAGGCCCAAUAUCAACACUG
rnacentral:lncRNA from 1 species